rnacentral:lncRNA from 1 species
AAUUUAAAUUUGUGAAACUUCAGUUACUAGAGAGCUAUAUAUACUGUGCCUUGUUUUAGAGCGUGGAGAUGACAAAUUACACUUGCAUUUCACUUAACAGGAUUCAACUAUAUGUGUCCAGAAAAAGGAAAGAUGAAGUGAAAGAAUGAAGAAAAAAAUGCUCAUUUCACAUUCCCUGGAGUCAGGACACAAGUCCCAGGCCAGCUGCCGCCUCACUCGACCACUUGGACUACCAGAUGUCAGGCUGCCCUUUGUGGACUUCUCACUUGGCAACCUCUCCUUUUCCUUUUCUUCUCACGUUGGACACUGCCUUCCUUUUCUUCACCCCCUUCUCAUGGCACCAAGUGGUUCAACUCCAUUGUUUUGGAACAAGGAAAAGAGAAACAAGAAGAUCAAAUAAAUGUAUCACCCCAAUUCACUGGAAGAGUCUGUAAAUGAGCAAAAUUAAAACAAUUUCUCUGUAGCCAGCACCACAGCAGGAGCUGGGCUCUCUGACACAUGUGAAACACUCUUUCUGUGUGUAAAUAUUUUCAAAUUGCCUUUUUAAAGAAAAGAGGAAGCCCAGGCAGAGUCAUACAUAGCCCAGAUGUAUCGGAUCAGAAGAAUGAAAGUGCAAAAGGUCAGAGACUA